rnacentral:rRNA from 1 species
GGUUAAGUUAGAAAGGGCGCACGGUGGAUGCCUUGGCACUAGGAGCCGAUGAAGGACGGGACGAACACCGAUAUGCUUCGGGGAGCUGUAAGCAAGCUUUGAUCCGGAGAUUUCCGAAUGGGGAAACCCACCACUCGUAAUGGAGUGGUAUCCAUAUCUGAAUACAUAGGAUAUGAGAAGGCAGACCCGGGGAACUGAAACAUCUAAGUACCCGGAGGAAGAGAAAGCAAAUGCGAUUCCCUGAGUAGCGGCGAGCGAAACGGGACCAGCCCAAACCAAGAGGCUUGCCUCUUGGGGUUGUAGGACACUCUGUACGGAGUUACAAAGGAACGAGGUAGAUGAAGAGGUCUGGAAAGGCCCGCCAUAGGAGGUAACAGCCCUGUAGUCAAAACUUCGUUCUCUCCUGAGUGGAUCCUGAGUACGGCGGAACACGUGAAAUUCCGUCGGAAUCCGGGAGGACCAUCUCCCAAGGCUAAAUACUCCCUAGUGACCGAUAGUGAACCAGUACCGUGAGGGAAAGGUGAAAAGCACCCCGGAAGGGGAGUGAAAGAGAUCCUGAAACCGUGUGCCUACAAGUAGUCAGAGCCCGUUAACGGGUGAUGGCGUGCCUUUUGUAGAAUGAACCGGCGAGUUACGAUCCCGUGCAAGGUUAAGCAGAAGAUGCGGAGCCGCAGCGAAAGCGAGUCUGAAUAGGGCGAAUUGAGUACGUGGUCGUAGACCCGAAACCAGGUGAUCUACCCAUGUCCAGGGUGAAGUUCAGGUAACACUGAAUGGAGGCCCGAACCCACGCACGUUGAAAAGUGCGGGGAUGAGGUGUGGGUAGGGGUGAAAUGCCAAUCGAACCUGGAGAUAGCUGGUUCUCUCCGAAAUAGCUUUAGGGCUAGCCUCAAGGUAAGAGUCUCGGAGGUAGAGCACUGAUUGGACUAGGGGCCCCUACCGGGUUACCGAAUUCAGUCAAACUCCGAAUGCCGAUGACUUAUCCUUGGGAGUCAGACUGCGAGUGAUAAGAUCCGUAGUCGAAAGGGAAACAGCCCAGACCGCCAGCUAAGGUCCCAAAGUAUACGUUAAGUGGAAAAGGAUGUGGAGUUGCUUAGACAACCAGGAUGUUGGCUUAGAAGCAGCCACCAUUUAAAGAGUGCGUAAUAGCUCACUGGUCGAGUGACUCUGCGCCGAAAAUGUACCGGGGCUAAACGUAUCACCGAAGCUGCGGACUGUUCUUCGAACAGUGGUAGGAGAGCGUUCUAAGGGCUGUGAAGCAAGACCGGAAGGACUUGUGGAGCGCUUAGAAGUGAGAAUGCCGGUAUGAGUAGCGAAAGAGGGGUGAGAAUCCCCUCCACCGAAUGCCUAAGGUUUCCUGAGGAAGGCUCGUCCGCUCAGGGUUAGUCGGGACCUAAGCCGAGGCCGAAAGGCGUAGGCGAUGGAUAACAGGUUGAUAUUCCUGUACCACCUCCUCACCAUUUGAGCAAUGGGGGGACGCAGGAGGAUAGGGUAAGCGCGGUAUUGGAUAUCCGCGUCCAAGCAGUUAGGCUGGGAAAUAGGCAAAUCCGUUUCCCGUGAAGGCUGAGCUGUGAUGGCGAGCGAAUUAUAGUAGCGAAGUUCCUGAUUCCACACUGCCAAGAAAAGCCUCUAGCGAGGUGAGAGGUGCCCGUACCGCAAACCGACACAGGUAGGCGAGGAGAGAAUCCUAAGGUGAUCGAGAGAACUCUCGUUAAGGAACUCGGCAAAAUGACCCCGUAACUUCGGGAGAAGGGGUGCUCUGUUAGGGUGCAAGCCCGAGAGAGCCGCAGUGAAUAGGCCCAGGCGACUGUUUAGCAAAAACACAGGUCUCUGCGAAGCCGUAAGGCGAAGUAUAGGGGCUGACGCCUGCCCGGUGCUGGAAGGUUAAGAGGAGCGCUUAGCGUAAGCGAAGGUGCGAAUUGAAGCCCCAGUAAACGGCGGCCGUAACUAUAACGGUCCUAAGGUAGCGAAAUUCCUUGUCGGGUAAGUUCCGACCCGCACGAAAGGCGCAACGAUCUGGGCACUGUCUCAACGAGAGACUCGGUGAAAUUAUAGUACCUGUGAAGAUGCAGGUUACCCGCGACAGGACGGAAAGACCCCGUGGAGCUUUACUGCAGCCUGAUAUUGAAUGUUGGUACAGCUUGUACAGGAUAGGUAGGAGCCUUGGAAACCGGAGCGCCAGCUUCAGUGGAGGCAUCGGUGGGAUACUACCCUGGCUGUAUUGACCUUCUAACCCGCCGCCCUUAUCGGGCGGGGAGACAGUGUCAGGUGGGCAGUUUGACUGGGGCGGUCGCCUCCUAAAAGGUAACGGAGGCGCCCAAAGGUUCCCUCAGAAUGGUUGGAAAUCAUUCGCAGAGUGUAAAGGCACAAGGGAGCUUGACUGCGAGACCUACAAGUCGAGCAGGGACGAAAGUCGGGCUUAGUGAUCCGGUGGUUCCGCAUGGAAGGGCCAUCGCUCAACGGAUAAAAGCUACCCCGGGGAUAACAGGCUUAUCUCCCCCAAGAGUCCACAUCGACGGGGAGGUUUGGCACCUCGAUGUCGGCUCAUCGCAUCCUGGGGCUGUAGUCGGUCCCAAGGGUUGGGCUGUUCGCCCAUUAAAGCGGUACGCGAGCUGGGUUCAGAACGUCGUGAGACAGUUCGGUCCCUAUCCGUCGCGGGCGCAGGAAAUUUGAGAGGAGCUGUCCUUAGUACGAGAGGACCGGGAUGGACGCACCGCUGGUGUACCAGUUGUUCUGCCAAGGGCAUCGCUGGGUAGCUAUGUGCGGACGGGAUAAGUGCUGAAAGCAUCUAAGCAUGAAGCCCCCCUCAAGAUGAGAUUUCCCAUUCCGCAAGGAAGUAAGAUCCCUGAAAGAUGAUCAGGUUGAUAGGUCUGAGGUGGAAGUGUGGCGACACAUGGAGCUGACAGAUACUAAUCGAUCGAGGACUUAACCAA